rnacentral:lncRNA from 1 species
CGUCGUCGUUGUCGAUCAUCGGGAACGUGCAGCAGCAAGGGACACGUAUCACUUACGAUCUGGCGAAUAAUCUUAUCGGAUUGUCAGCGAAUCAAUGCUAAAGGCAGUGGAUGAUGAUGAUUAAUAGGUUUUACAGUUCUAUCAGUAAAACUCUUAUUAGUUCUUGUUUCUUUAAUAUGGAUUACAAAAUCUUAAGUGUGAAUGUUUCCUUUAUCUUUUUAUUUAAUUAAUCGGUAGUUAUUUUCGGCUGUUUAUCGAUUAAUAAAUAGGAUUAGUAUAAAUUUGAAAAUGCUGUCUGAGGGAGAAGCUUUUAGUUAUUUGUUUGAUAGUUUCUUGUCUUUGUGAGAAAGAGCAUGUCAAUUUUAUAUAAAAGCAGGGUCUUAUUGUAACAAAAGAAAAGUCUUUAAAACACUUUUGUUGUGGCCCCUAUCUUUUAUAUUUUAAACUGUUGUCUGAAUCUACCAACUGUAUGAAACAGUCAAUGUGAAAGUAAAAGCAUGAUUAUUCAGAGAUUCUCGGUGUGGGAUUCUUAGCGAAAUAUAAAAACUCGUCUCUUAAUUUUUAACUAAAAAAGUUAAGAACCAUCUCUUAAAACUCUUAUUUAAGAGUCGGUUCUUAACUUUUUUAGUUAAAAGUUAAGAGACGGGUUCUUAUAUUCCGCUAAGAACCCUACUUUAAGACCAUUUUUAACGCAAGUGCUUACGCCCAAUGCUUAGGUAAUUAAUGAUUUUUUAAAAAGAAAAAUGGGAUUAAUUAGAAAACACGGCGCUUAAAGAGGGAGUAGAAGAAUCGGUGCUAAAUGGACAUGUGUUGGGCAAUGGUUACAUCUCUCUCUCUCCCUCUCGCACAAAACGCAUCGGUUUCUCUCUUUCGUCGUCGUAGACGAAACCGCGUCUCUCCACCUCUCCUCGUCGAAUCCGCCGGUGCUUCUUGUUUUCUCACCGAUCGGUUGGAGCCGUCGGCAUUUGUGUCGGUGGAAAGCUCGUAUCUGUCGGUGGUCUCGCCGAUCGUGUCCUAUUUGAUCGCCGACGACGCGUCUCUCAAGCUACAACGACGAGACCAUGUACACCCCCGAGGAGCUGACGACGCCCGUCGUCUCCGGAGCUAGCCAAGGAAGCGGCGAGUAUUUCUCCAGCAUCGGAGUCGGAACUCCGGCGAAGGAGAUGUUCAUGGUGCUCGACACCGGAAGCGACAUAAACUGGAUCCAGUGCCAGCCUUGCUCCGACUGCUACCAACAAUCCGACCCGGUUUUCGACCCGGCUUCGUCCUCCACGUUCAAGUCUCUCUCUUGCUCGGCCCCACAGUGCGGUUCUCUAGAAGUUUCCGCUUGUCGCUCGGACAAGUGUCUCUACCAAGUUAGUUACGGAGACGGAUCUUUCACCGUUGGAGAUUACGCUACCGAUACGGUGACGUUUGGAACCAACGGUAAAGUAAACGACGUCGCUUUGGGAUGUGGGCACGAUAACGAAGGUCUUUUCACGGGAGCGGCCGGUUUACUCGGUUUAGGAGGUGGAGCUUUGUCUAUGACUAAUCAGAUUAAAGCGACGUCGUUCUCCUACUGCCUCGUUGAUCGUGACUCGGGGAAGUCCUCGAGUCUCGACUUCAACUCGGUCCAAGCCGGAACCGGAGACGCGACGGCUCCGCUUCUCCGCAACAGCAAGAUCGACACUUUCUACUACGUCGGACUCAGCGGGUUCAGCGUCGGCGGUCAGCAAGUCUCCAUCCCUUCGUCGGUGUUCGCCGUCGACGCUUCGGGAGCCGGAGGAGUGAUCUUGGACUGUGGAACCGCCGUGACUCGUCUCCAGACUCAGGCCUACAACUCGCUGCGCGACGCGUUUGUUAAACUCACGGCGAAUCUCAAGAAGGGGACGUCGAGCAUCUCACUCUUCGACACUUGCUACGACUUCUCGUCUCUCUCCACCGUGAAAGUCCCGACGGUGGCGUUUCAUUUCACCGGUGGUAAGUCGAUUGAUUUGCCGGCGAAGAAUUACUUGAUCCCUGUGGAUGACGCCGGAACGUUCUGCUUUGCUUUUGCUCCGACGUCGUCUUCUUUGUCGAUCAUCGGGAACGUGCAGCAGCAAGGGACACGUAUCACUUACGAUCUGGCGAAUAAUCUUAUCGGAUUGUCAGCGAAUCAAUGCUAAAAGCAGUGGAUGAUGAUGAUUAAUAGGUUUUACAGUUCUAUCAGUAAAACUCUUAUUAGUUCUUGUUUCUUUAAUAUGGAUUACAAAAUCUUAAGUGUGAAUGUUUCCUUUAUCUUUUUAUUUAAUUAAUCGGUAGUUAUUUUCGGC